GUAGAGACAGGUUUUUGUGCUGGGAUUAUAGAUGUGAGCCACCACGCCCAGCCCCAUUUUGUUAUAAUGUUGAUGAGGAAAACAGAAGUUUCAUUGUACAUCAUUUUGCUUAAAGUUGCAGUUUCUAAGACCCUAUCAACGAUGUUAAGUGACGACUUAACUGUAGUCGGAUUCCAUGGAAUGGAACCAUGGGCCAGGAUGGAUUAAAUCAACAGCCAGCAUCUACCUUAGAUUUAGGUCUUAAUUGCCCAGGAAACUUUUUUGAAAUAACCUGAAAUUAGGAGCCUCUGUCCCUUGUUCUAGAGCUCUUGCUGUUCCUUUGACCUCUCUCUUACCCAGUAUUCCUCCCUGAUGUCCCCAUUUGCACAUGCAGCUUGAGGAAUAGGUACCUGGGAACAGGUUAUGGGUCACUGAUAAGGCAGAAACCUUAAGGCCCUGGUUGCAGCAUAUUGCUGGCUUGGCUCCUUUCCCAGGCAGUCCUCUGCCCCCCUUUUCCUGGAACCUCGGCCCCAUUGCACAGGGCACCUGCCACCCUUUCAAAGGCCUGCCCCUUCACGAGGACAGCUCUGACUGCAAGAUCUUUCAAAGUAGAAAAGCUUAGCUUAACCUACGAUUACGUGCCCUCAGCUUGUGGGGAAGGAGAGAGGCGGAUGCUGUGACAUCAGAAGAGAAAAAGUCAGAGGACCACCUGGAGCCACAUCAUACUGGGAGCUGUUGGUGCUCUCAUUAAACAAGAGUUGACACAUGGUGACGAGGAGACUUCCAGAAGAAGUGGUGCAUGAGAGAAGCCGUGGAAAGAAAAGCGUCUGUGAGAACCAAGAGCCAUCAUGGUUUCUGGAGGGGUGGGGAUAAUUUAGGGACUGCAGGUGUCUGUGACAGGUGUGUCCUACUUGUUUCUAGCCAAACACUUCCCCUGACAGGGACCUCACCCAGCAGCUACUCUGGUUGGAAUGUGGAUCUGGGCCCUGUAAGGAACAUCGAUAGCCCAGACGUUUCCAGGCAGCAGAGACCCCACACUAAGAGGGCUGUGGCCUGAUCCUGCUCAUUGUCUUUUUCUGAAAAGCAUUUUGUUGGACAGGAGAUUCCAAAUCCUCACAUAUUCACCCAGAGAGCACAGUGAAGUGAGCCGACUUGAGGAUGCCUAGGAAACAGGUAUGUUGGGGUGUAUUCUGCCAACUCCAGGGCAGCAGCUGCCUUGUGGCGUGGCUGUUGUCCUGGGGAGUCGAGGCCCCCCUGCAUGUGUGACGAGCAGUUUCACCAGCACUCUGGCUGACGAACGUAAUGCCCUCCCCUUCACAAAAUCAAGAUGGGCUGGAAAGGCGGUAUCUGUCCUCAAGCUCAAGCUCAGUGGCCCAGCUGAAGAGGGCACAGCGGGAUAGAUGGCCUGCAGUGUCCCCAGCAGAACGCUGACUAGGAAGCAACUGUACCCAAGAUUCCUCAUGAGCUCUCCUGGAGAAAACAAACCAAACAGACUUCCCCCCACUGAGCUCUGCUGGACCAAGGGAAGCCACUUAUCUAAGCCCCUCGGAGGAGCUGGUCAGCUUAGACUUGGCAGUCUGAGGCCCAGGAAGGUACAGAAAUCACAGGAGCUUAGUAGAAUAUGCAAAAUGUUUUGAUGACGCUGACAGAUGUUUGUAUGGACUGGCCAGCUAAAGGGUCUCCAGGAGAACCAAACGUCAAUCAAUAAACCAGAGUCUGCCCAGAGGCAUGCAGCAGAACAGACCCCAAACAAAACAGAGAGGGGCAGGAGAGGAAGCAGUUCAGAGUAGCUGCAGCUGAGGCAGUGGCUCUUGCCUGUUAGAUGGGAAUGGAGAGGGGAGAGAAGGAAGGAAGAGUGGGAAUGUGACUCCUGGAGGCUGAGGACACUUAAAUGCCCAAGAGGGAUAGGAGUGAGACAGCAGCAACUAAGCUUUUGCAGACACAAUGCCCACAGUGAGGGCUGGUCUGAGGAGGGUGUUUUGCCAAAGUAACAGGGGACUUAUAUCUGCCCCAGAGGUCACUGUCUGUGAGCCUCUCCCUUGUUAGUAGAGCAGGUAAGGGCACUAAGCCAUCCACAGAGAUGCUCCAGAACAGCCGGCUCAACAGGGCUGAUUACGACCCUUAGUGGGUGACGGCCCCAAGGACUCAGUUCUCACAGGAACUUGGCUCCACUUACACUGGCUCCAGCCCCAGGCCUCUCACCCUCCCCAGAAAUCAAACCAUUGUAUCCCUUUUCCUUUCUGGAGAGGCUGCUGGCUCUCAGGGACACCCCUUUAGAAGAACAGGAUCCCUAGGAAGAGGCCACUCCCUGCAUCAGUUACCACACUAUCAACACAAGGCUUUGGGGAGGGCUCUGAACCAGAACUGCCCAAUCACGGACAAAGGACAUGGGAACCAUCGCCCCUCCCCAGCUGGUGAGAUACAAAGAGCCUGUUUUGGAAAUGAAGACGCUC